UACGUAGGUGGCAAGCGUUGUCCGGAUUUACUGGGCGUAAAGAGCGCGCAGGCGGUCGUUCAAGUCGCGUGUGAAAGCCCCCGGCUCAACUGGGGAGGGUCACGCGAUACUGCUCGACUUGAAGGCAGGAGAGGGAAGUGGAAUUCCCGGUGUAGUGGUGAAAUGCGUAGAUAUCGGGAGGAACACCAGUGGCGAAGGCGACUACCUGGCCUGUUCUUGACGCUGAGGCGCGAAAGCUAGGGGAGCAAACGGG
rnacentral:rRNA from 1 species